UAGGGAAUCUUCACAAUGGGCGAAAGCCUGAUGGAGCAACGCCGCGUGUGUGAUGAAGGGUUUCGGCUCGUAAAACACUGUUGUAAGAGAAGAAUGACAUUGAGAGUAACUGUUCAAUGUGUGACGGUAUCUUACCAGAAAGGAACGGCUAAAAUACGUGCCAG
rnacentral:rRNA from 1 species